rnacentral:pre_miRNA from 2 species
UUUCCGUACGUAGCACAUAUGUAUGUUUUGAACAUAUAAACUCCAUACGGUUAUA